ACGCUUGAGGUGUUUAGAAAGCCUCAAGGAAAGCCUGCAAAGGCGCUGAAGGAGGGAGCUGCGGGCCAUCAGGUAGUUGGUGGGGUAACGGCCUACCAAGCCAACGACGGAUAGGGGGCCUGAGAGGGUGACCCCCCACACUGGAACUGAGAGACGGUCCAGACUCCUACGGGAGGCAGCAGUAAGGGAUAUUGCGACAAUGGGCGAAAGCCUGACGCAGCAACGCCGCGUGAGGGAUGACGGCCUUCGGGUUGUAAACCUCUUUUCAGGGUGAAGAGGAAGGACGGUAGCCCUGGAAGAAGUCUCGGCUAACUACGUGCCAGCAGCCCGCGGUAAAACGUAGGAGGCGAGCGUUAUCCGGAUUUACUGGGUGUAAAGCGCGUGCAGGCGGUGGUCUAAGUGGUGUGUGAAAGCGCCCGGCUUAACCGGGCGAGGCCGCAUUAGACUGGACCACUUGAGGCAAG
rnacentral:rRNA from 1 species